AUUGAACGCUGGCGGCAGGCCUAACACAUGCAAGUCUAACGAGUGGCGGACGGGUGAGUAAUGUCUGUUAAACUGCCUGAUGGAGGGGGAUAACUACUGGAAACGGUAGCUAAUACCGCAUACCAUCAGAUGUGCCCAGAUGGGAGUAGCUUGUUGGUGGGGUAACGGGGCACCAAGGCGACGCUCCCUAGCUGGUCUUAGAGGAUGACCAGACACACUGGAACUGAGACACGGUCCAGACUCCUACGGGAGGCAGCAGUGAGGAAUAUUGAACAAUGGGCGCAAGCCUGAUGCAGCCAUGACGCGUGUAUGAAGAAGGCCUUGGGGUUGUAAAGUACGUGCAGUGGGGAGGCGUUACCCGCAGAAGAAGCACCGGAUAACUCCGUGCCAGCAGCCGCGGUAAUAC
rnacentral:rRNA from 1 species